CUUCCUGAAACCCAGUGAAAGAUAGACAACUAACGUCCAUAUACAAUUAAUAUUAAAACCUUAAAAAUGAAAAACUCACUUGUUAUUCUCGCUGUCGUCCUGGUGGCUUUUAUUUCUGUGUCCAGGAGCAACCCUUUGGAUGAUAUAGAGCAACAUGACAUGAAGAGUGUCGUUGAUUCAUCGACGGAGGUAGUGGAGCUAUUCAGUGGCGCGGGAGUCUCUCGUCAACGUAUCUGUACGGCAGCGCUGUGUCGCAGUGUGUGUCAGUCACUCGGAUUCCCGAUAUCCUUCUGUAACAUUCAACGCAUCUGUGUCUGCAGACGUUAAUGUAACUUCAUACAAUAUAUUGUAUUUACAUGAAUUAAGCUCUCUAAAUAAAUUUGUUUACAAAAACAA